rnacentral:rRNA from 1 species
UAACCUGCCCAUUGGGUUCUAAAAGGCCGCGGUAUUAUGACCGUGCAAAGGUAGCAUAAUCAUUAGUCUUUUAAUUGAAGGCUAGAAUGAAUGGUUGGACAAGAAAUAAUCUGUCUUAAAUUAAUAUAUUGAAUUUAACUUUUAAGUGAAAAGGCUUAAAUAUUCUAGAGUGACGAUAAGACCCUAUAAAACUUUAUAUUUAAAAAUAAUAAUUAGUUUUAUUUAAGAAUUUUAUUUAGAAAUAUUUUAUUGGGGUGAUAAAGAUAUAAAUUUAAAUAACUGUCUUCUUUUUUUACAAUAAUAUUUGAAUUAAUGAUCCUAAAAAGGAGUAAAAGAUCAAGUUACUUUAGGGAUAACAGCGUAAUUUUUUUUAAGAGUUCAUAUCGACAAGAAAGUUUGCGACCUCGAUGUUGAAUUAAAAAAUCUUUAUAGAGCA